AUUUUAGCCAGGAUGGUCUCGAUCUCCUGACCUCAUGAUCCACCUGCCUUGGCCUCCCAAAGUGCUGGGAUUACAGGUGUGAGCCACCGUGCCUGGCCGGUCCUUACCCCAAUCUUAUUAUAACAUUAGACAUCCUUCCUCCCUGGGGAAAAGUGAAUAUGGAGUGGAGAGAGGCCAUGAGUGUUCCACUAAUUGAUGCCCCUUCUUGAAGAAACCUGAAGCCUGAUGAAGCAAGGUUCCUCCGGCCUCACAAAAAAUGUUCCCCCUCAUAUUUCAGUUAUUUUCCUAUAACUGAUACAUACCAGUGUUAGAGGAUAUAGAAGUAUACCAUAGAAGUUAGGAGUGAAGUGCAUGAUUGCUCUCCAUGAUAAAGCGAGGGAGAUUCAGAUAUGAGUAUUGAGGAAGCGAUGGAUUCAAACAAUUUGAUAAAGACAUAAAGAGUGAGAUGAUCAAGAAGGUAUCUCUAGUGAGGGCAGGAGUGACUUACCAGAGAAAUUUUAGGAUUAGGUGUCUAGUCCUCAAUAUAAAGUUAUUUGCCUUAUUUCCAUCACCCCAGACUUUUAGUUAAGACUUCCAUAAUGACUUUCGUAGUAUGUUGGGGAUGGAAAUCAAGGAACAGGGAUAAGUCCCUGGACAGGACAAAGAGGAAAAGAGCAGCCUUGCCGGGUAGGAUAGAUACCAGUAAGACUAGGCAUUCAGGUCAGGUGUGGUGGCUCAUGCCUGUAAUCCCAGCACUUUGGGAGGCCAAGGCAGGCAGAUCACUUGAGGUCAGGAGUUCGAGACCAGACUGGACAAAAUGGUGAAACCCUGCCCCUACUAAAAAUACAAAAAUUAGCUGGGCAUGGUGGCGGGUGCCUGUAAUCCCAUCUACUCGGGAGGCUGAGGCAGGAGAAUCACUUGAACCAGGGAGGCGGAGGUUGGAGUGAGCCGAGAUCACACCACUGCACUCCAGCAUGGGCAACAGAGCAAGACUAUGUCUCAAAAAAAAAAAAAAAAAAAAAAAAAAAGGACUGGGCAUCAGUGGAAUUAGAACUCAAAGGCCAGAGUAACAGUGGUAUGGAGAAGAAUUAAUACAGAUUGUUGCCACAUACCACCAAAGAGUGCCAAUCAGGAUAUUUCAAAAUUAUGUUAGACUAUGAACUAGAGUGGGGUUAGCAAACCUUUUCUGUAAAGGGCUAGAUAGGAAAGUGCUAUACACUGUUUCCCUCUUUUUUUGCAGACUCUGUUAACUCUGUUAACUACUUGACUCUGCCAAAAAAAGAGGGAAACAGUGUAUAGCAUAUGUUCUCAUUAUGAGCACACUCCAGUCCUUUUUAUAAAAAAGUAGGAAUAAGCAAAUUAUUUUUAAAAAUCAAAUAAUAAAACAUUGACACUGUAGUCCACAGUCUUCUUUCUUUGGGGGACAUAAAGAUUCCAGGGGCCUUCACUGUUAACAGAGGUUGAGCAAACGAGCUUUCUUAAUGAGACCACAGCUGCAAUAAGAACAUGAACAUGGAAGGGAGGGCUCCUCAGAAGCACAGAGUAACUCUCAGUAUCUUAGCCAAGCCAAAGUGAUUAAACUGUGCCAAGAGAUACAGUUUAACACUCUAGUUUUUAUCUUACUGUGGUGAAGACAUUCACAAAGGGCAAAGCACACGCUCCCGCUAACACACAAAUCUUUUGUGUUUGGGAUGUAAGGACAAUCAGACACAAGCUCUGGUGUAGGACAAAAGCAAUAACCUCUGGUUAUUUAUAUAAACUCUGAUCUCUGGCGUUCAAUUUAGCCAGACUUCAAAACACAAAUGGUAGAAGUCAAGCCAAGGAAAGGGACUUCCAAAAGCAAGCCUUGAGGCCAGGGCUAUACCAGGCCAACAAACCUUACUCCUUGUGCUCUGAAGCCAAUACAAGCUCAUAAAACCUGUUUAACAGCCAAGCCUAGGGUGCCUCCUGCCUGUUAUGAUCCAUGCUUAGGGCUGUCCAGCCCAUCAUGCCCCUUCACAUGUCAGUAUUGGCAUAUCCAAGGCUGGUUCCAGAUAAAACAAAUGGCCUGAGGCACCUCACCCUCCUCACACUCAUGGACAGUUCCAAGCUCUCCAGCCCUACAUCUACUUUGCAUUCUGUUGCUCUACUGGCCGUGCUGCUGACCCCAGCUAUUAUCGUCUAGUGAGCCUUCACCAUGCACAAGGGACAGGCAGCUGUGCAGAUCUGAGUACCCAGGUGGAAGCCACAGUUGAGGCCUAUUGACUUUUAUCUUAGAGAUAAAGUCCUGUUCCCCCACCACUCCCCAGUGUGGGUCAUAUGUAAAGGAAUGUAACUCUUUGAGAGUCUCCAGUCAACUCUUUGAGCAUAUCCUUGACCACUCUCCUUGGGAGGCCCUGGCACCUGGGUCUAGGUAGUGGGUUGGUUUGUCUGAUGGUGGAGCCACCACUGUCUCCUUGAGGUUCCCGCUCCCUGACCCUGGCUAUAAUAUCCCCUCACAGACUGGUUUACGCAAUGGCCUCACCCCUCAGCUUGUCAGGUAUUCAGGAUCCCCCACCUACCUAUCUGCUACCUCCUCACCUAAUCUCUCUAUCCAGAUGACGCUAGCCUUGCAGGUGGGAUCCAGAUGGACAAGUGAUAUGUGUUGCUUUAAGGUGGCUCUUUUCCCUACACUGUUAUUCAGUACGGCUCUGCAGAAUUAUCUUCCAGAAUAAGUUAUAGGCUUCUUUUAGCAAAGAGCCAUGGUCUACACUUCCUUAUUUUCCUCUUAGCAGUUACCAUGGAGUUGGUUGCUUGACUUCGUGGAUUCCAGUAUGGAGGAGAAAAAACCAGGAGUUAGGAUAUAGAAAAAUGACAUUUCAAGAGUUGGGAGAAAAAUCAACUAGAGAAAAAUGUGGACAUCAUUAGACAGUAAUAUCUCUGUGACCAAACAUAUGUAUUCACUGCCAGAAAUCAUAGUAAUAACAACAACCAUAGUGCUAAGGCUGUACUAACUUACUAGCACAUACUAUUACUAUGAUAAUAGUAAUAACAUUACCAUUGUUAGUACUAUGUACUAUUACUAUUGUAAUGUUGUUACAAUAUUAACAACAUUAAUAUUAAUAUUGUUGUUAAUAUUGUAACAACAUUGCAAUAGUUGUUGUACUCAAGUUAUUUUUUCUUAUAAUCACAAUAGGCCAAUGAUGUAAGGACUACUAUUAUCUCCGUUUUAUAUUAUCUCAUUUUAUAGUUGAAGGGUGAGGUUUCCACAGGCAGAGUAAUUUUCCUAAGGCUAUGCAACUUCCAAAGUGAUGGACCUAGAUCACAAACCCAGUUUCAUUUGGUUCCAAGGCCUUCACAUUUAACUUCCACAUUUGAUUGCCUCCCAGUAUUUGUGAGUAAAGAAAAUAAAACAGGGACUGUCCAAAUGGGAAUGGGUAAAAAUAAGGGCCAGGUUGUUUUAGGACCUGCCAAAAUUAGGUGCAUUGGUUUGGAUGCAUUCAGGUACAAGGAGCAGAAUAACCAACUCCCAGGGGCUUAAGAAAUAAAGAACUUUAGUCAUCUCACAUGCCUAGUUGAGGACAGGCAGUUCUGUGCCUGGUACAAUGGCUUACAGACACCUAUGAUCCAGGCUCUUUUUAAACUUCCACUCACCAUUCCUGUUGGCUUUUGAUCCUGGUUUCUGUCUCUUUACCAGCACAAGAUGGUCACCACAACACCAAACAUGACAUCCUGGCCCCAGAAUCCCAAACAGGAUGGAGAGGGCGGCAGAAGCAAGUUCUCCUCAUUAAUAAUGUCUUUCUCUUCACUGAGAAAGCAAGAUCUUUCCCAGAAGCCCCCCAGCAGACCUUCCCAUCUGUCUCAUUGGCCAGAGUCCUAGCAGCAAGGGUGGCUGGGACAGUGGCAAGGAAAGUACCUCAGCAAAGGCUGGGCACAUUGCCACCCAGAACCUCACAAAGGUUCUGCAAACCAGGAAGUGGGAAGUUGGCAGAUGGAUGGCCAGUGACAGUACAUGCAUUUUGAGAUGCCUCCUCUCUCAGGCAAGAUUGGGCUCAGCUUCUUUUUUUAAUGUCAUGGGAUGAAAACUGCAGGACACUGAGACAGAGACCUAUAAAAUCCUGUGCUCACAAUUCCUGGGUAUUAUCCAUUCAGCUCCUGCCCUCUGCCCAAGUAGGAACCUUCAAUGCCCCAGAAGCAGCUCCGUGUACUCAGUUUGGGAUAUGAGGAAAGUGCCUGCCAUCUGGAACUCAGCCACUGCUAUCAUAAUCGGUCAAACACUCUGGGAAGCAAUGGUGUUCUGAUUUCUUUUACUGCACAGCUUCCAAUAAAAUUUGUGGCCCAGGUGUGACAACCAAUAGAACUCUUUCACUUUAUUCUUGUCUCUGAGAUUCUGGUUUCUACUUGCUUUCUAAAAGAAACAUAAAAGGCAAGUAAGCAUGGCGUGUAAAAGUGAAGGGGGUGGGCUUCCCAUGGGAUAUAUGAUGAUUUUCUUCCUUUGUUGUAAACAUAUGAUAUAGGAAGUUGCGUGAGAAUCUUGCUUAAAACAAUAGUGACAACCUUUUAACCCCAUCUGCUUCCCAUUAAUGGGAAAAGCCGUUACAUGGUAGUGUCAAGGGGCCUCUGGAUUUUCUCAAGGCUUUACCAUAAGACAGAUGCUUAAGACAAAAUCCUCCAACCCUUUGGUUCUAAUCCUCCCCUUCUUAGUCCAUUCAGAAAGCACAGAAGGUAAUGGCAUCUGGCCGAUACUCAUGAGGGCUGGGUUGGUAAAGUGAAAACCUUUCUGUGCUGUGACAAAUUUCACUGGCUGUGCUUUAGGUAGUUUGCAAAGCACAAAGUUAAGUUUCUGGAUGAUAUGUUCAUGAUUAACAAACCAGAUUAUAAUGCCCUUUCCAGAGUGAAUUCUAGUUCUUAGGAUUACUUUGCAGAUUUAAAAACAAUAAAUAUUUAUUAAAUAUCUGUUAUUUACCAAGGUCACACCUCUAGGGCCUUGUCCCGUGUGUUUUCUGAACCACUGGCGUGGAUGACUUGAUGAGUCACUCAUGAAUCAGAAAAUUGCAAAAUAUCAUCUUCACUGAAUUUUAUGUCAGCACAGACUCAGUCAGAGUUGAAUAUGGACUCCCUGGUUUCUGGGAAGGCAGAGAUAUUUCAAAAACAUUUCCAGGAAGGCAAUCAAGUGCUCCUUUUGAUGCAUUUGCCAAGUGGGACACAAAAUAGACCUAUAUUUGUAAAUAACAAUCUUUUUCAAACACUGCCAUGGGGAUAUGCCCAGCUUAUAGUGAUCCUUAAAAUAUGUAUUGUGAAGUAAUAAUCCACCUAUGUUUCAGUAAUUUCCAAGUGUUUCUCCAGCCUUGACUCCAACCAUGAACCUCAGAUUCACACACUCAAGCACCUUCAAUCUACACUAGAGCCCGAGUAAUCAACCUAAAGCACUCUCCUUCCAUAAUCUCUUCUAUGACUCCGCAUCACCUUCAGAGUAAUGACCCGCCUCCCCAGCACAGCCUGACUACAAGUUCCUCCCUGACCCUGCCUCCACCCUCUGGACUCACCUGCUACUAUUUGCCCCAUCUCUGAACACCAAAGUUUUUGUAGUUCCCAAUACAACACCCUUUUCCUUGUCUCUGCUCUAACCAUGCUCUGUUCCCUCUGCACAGAAUGCCCUUCCCUCCGUUUGCCAGCUUCUUCUUACCUAUCAUGCAUGACUCAUAUACAUCAUGUCUCUGGAGGGUCUUCCUCGAACCCCCGGGCUGAAUUAAUUACCCCUCUUCUGGAGCACUGCAUAUGUAGCCCUGUCUUAACAUGGACCACUUUGUGUUAAAAUUAUCAAAAAGAUGUUUCCUCCUCUGGACUUUAAACAAAUUUUGCUUAGCUUUUUGCCCAGAGUCCCUAGCAUAGUAUCUGACUCUUGACAGGCACGUAAUACAUGCUUGUUGAACUUCAACUAAAGCGAUCACAGCAUCUUUCUUUUGUGCCUAGAAACAAGCAGAAUGAAAGUGGAAAAGAAAAAUUACAGAGCUAAAAUUUAGACACUGAAGAGGUCUUAUUUGAGGUCAAAUUUAAGAGGACUUUGUCCUGAUCACUUUUUGGAUGGCUUUAGACUCUCCACAUGUGGCUGUAGCAAUUCCAGACUCCCACUGCACUGUUCCAGUUAUCUUUUGCUGCAUAACAAACUACCCCAAAACUUAGUGGCUUAAAACAGCAACUUUUUUUUCUUUUUUUUCUUUUUGAGAUGGAGUCUCAUUCUGUUGCCCAGGCUGGAGUGCAAUGGCGCGAUCUCGGCUCACUGCAACCUCUGCCUCCUGGGUUCAAGCGAUUCUGCCGCCUCAGCCUCCCAAGUAGCUAGGAUUACAGGCACCUGCCAUCAUGCCUAGCUAAUGUUUGUAUUUUUGUAGACAUGGGGUUUCAC
rnacentral:lncRNA from 1 species